UACGUAGGGUGCAGGCGUUAAUCGGAAUUACUGGGCGUAAAGCGUGCGCAGGCGGUUUGCUAAGACAGGCGUGAAAUCCCCGGGCUUAACCUGGGAACUGCGCUUGUAACUGGCAAGCUGGAGUGUGGCAGAGGGGGGUGGAAUUCCACGUGUAGCAGUGAAAUGCGUAGAGAUGUGGAGGAACACCGAUGGCGAAGGCAGCCCCCUGGGCUAACACUGACGCUCAUGCACGAAAGCGUGGGGAGCAAACAGG
rnacentral:rRNA from 1 species